GGGUUAGAGUGAUUCCUAAAGCUCUGUUGCAUCAUGAGAUAUCUGGAGAAACCUUUGGAGAAGUGCAAAAAGUUGCAAACAUGCAUGAAAGGAAGUCAAUAAUGGCUAAACAUGCUGAUGCAUUCAUAGCUCUUCCUGGAGGCUAUGGAACAAUAGAAGAGUUGCUA